UCCUCAGUAGCUCAGUGAUAGAGCGGUCGGCUGUUAACCGAUUGGUCAUAGUUCGAAUCCUACUUGGGAA
rfam:Nicotiana attenuata strain TT chromosome 1, whole genome shotgun sequence.